CUUAGUUUCGGCAGGCUGAGAUGAGCGGCUGAGAUCUCGCGAGAGCUGUGAGCUGUGCGUAAGUAAAAUGCCGACAUACAUGUAGAAAAUUAAAUCCACUCAGGUAAGUACUAACCACUCAGGUAAGUACUAACGAAAAUAAGAAGAUGAAAGAAUCCAUUCUGGACAUACAGUUGCGAAGUAUGAGAGAUAACCUCGUCUUUGCAGGCAUCCCGGAGCAGCAGGAGGAGGAUCCCAAGGUGGCACUCCGUAAGUUUCUCCAGCAGAAGCUGAAAAUCCCGGCGGAUCAGAUAAAAAUCAUCACCUUCCAUCGCGUUCACCGGCUUGGAGGAUGUGCACGAUAUCAACAUGAAACGCACUGUGGCCCUUCGUUGUCUCUCACUAUACUUGCAGGAAGAGGACACACAGUUUUUCAAUACUUGGAACAAUGAGGAAUCAGAGGAGUUGGACAUCGGGAACACACCCAUUGGUAUUGUUACGGAGAUCAGAGGAAGAAGUGCAUAUCUACUUCACGUCAGUCCUGCAUCCACAGCCAUUGUGGUUGGAGAUGACUUUCUCAUGAGGGACAUUACCACAUUUGCUGAUGCAUAUGUGUUACUGUUUGGGCUGGUUUAUGAUUUGCAACUGGACUACCCAAAGAAGCUUGUUGGCACCUUCAGUCUUCUUUCAAAAGGUUCUCAUGGGGUUGGAUGAUGGUGCACCCCUGAAACCGUCUCUGCUUUCUUUGAAAAAUGACCUGCUUUCAAUGUAGACAUUAUGUAAUUGUCCUCCCUCCCUCCCUUUUUAUUAGAUUUUUUUCUAUUUCUGUGCAAUGACACUUUUGGUUAUUUAUUGAAUUUAUUAUUUAUUCAUUUAAAGUUAUUUAUUGUCUUAAGUUACAUUUUGAAGUAGAAAGGCCAUAGCUGUAAGUUCACUAGAAGAUGGUUUUGGAAGUUUUUAAAGGCCAUACCUUUACACUGAGUACAAGUUCCCUGUAUCAGUUACACAUGUCUGCAAAUAAUUUGCACACACACCCAUACAGAUGUGUGUAUCUGGUGUUGGUUUACCUACAGUUUUAGAGAAAAAGCAUUUUAAUAAAAACAUUUAAAAUAUUCUGCAUUUGUUGUGUGAAGAAGUUUGAGUAUUCUGAACUUAAAAAAAAGUAGGUUAUGAGAUAUCUAAAAGUAUCUUUUUGGUUACUAAACAGUAUAAUUUUUGAGUUUAAAAAAGUUAAUCAAUUGAGUACCAUAUUAUCCUAACAAAUUAUUGCAAAGAAAUUAAAAGAUAUAUACAAAUUAAAAUAAAUGUCUUAAGUGCAGUGCACUCACAAUGUUUAUUUUGAGUGAAUUAGUAAUGUUUGAUUGUUAAUUAUGUAAAAGUUGUAAGUAAUUCAAACUUAAAUACUCUAACUUCUUUACUCAAAAACUGUGAGGUAAUCGGUUUCCACAAAGAUUUUGAGUAUUCUGAACUGAUUCGGGUUUACAGUGUUGUAGUGUCCACAUAAUUUGAAAUUCUCCCCGCAGGAAUCACAAUAAAACUAUGCAUAAAUC